rnacentral:misc_RNA from 1 species
GAUGAAGAACGCAGCGAAAUGCGAUAAGUAAUGCGAAUUGCAGAUUUCAGUGAGUCAUCGAAUCUUUGAACGCACAUUGCGCCCGCCAGUAUUCUGGCGGGCAUGCCUGUUCGAGCGUCAUUUCAACCAUCAAGCCCCCGGGCUUGCGUUGGGGCCCUGCGGCUGCCGCAGGCCCCGAAAAGCAGUGGCGGGCUCGCUGUCACACCGAGCGCAGUAGCGAUUCUCGCUCCGGGCGUCGGCGGCGGGCACCGGCCGUGAAACCCCCCAACAUCCACAAGGUUGACCUCGGAUCAGGUAGGAAUACCCGCUGAACUUAAGCAUAUCAAUAAGCGGAGGA